GGAGCUAGCCACAUUGCAGCACAACAAGGAGCUUCUCCUUCUCUUCUCACCACUCCAAGAGGUGCUCCUUACCAUGACGCUAGAUGAGAGUCACAGACAAAGGCAGGUUGUGGGGAAAGAUGUUCCAAUGGUUCUGAGAUGAGGCACAUGGCAUCUGUGUAUAUUGGAAAUGUCUAUCCUCUGCAAGGCCUGUUUAUGGCGACAGGGCAGCAGCAUGGGGAGCAAUGCUGUUUAGACAUAUGGUAACUUAUCGGAAUGGUCAUGUCCAUAUCAAUUUGUCAUGGUGUAAUUUACUGUAAAACUUCUUCACAAUUGUCAACAUGUUUCAGGAUGUUGUGAGGUUUUUUUGUUAGAUUGAGAUGGUAGGUUAGGAAUCAGGUUGAUAGGUGUAUAUAAUGGUAUGUAGAGAUCUAAGUGGAUAUGGUUUAUGUCAGCAACACAAUCAAUCUAUGAGGGUUGACAGUGUUGCAUUGAGGAAUGAUAAGGUGAGGUUUCAGGUAUGUGAAUUAAUUCACAAAGGUACUUAUAUGCAUGUGAGCAAUACUGUCCUUACUUGUAAGUAUCUAUUUCUUUUAAACUAGAAUUAGCAUAGAUAACCAUGUUUCAUUUCCAAGCAAAUGUACUGAUAUUGUUGAAUGUCAAAAUGUUUGCUCAACUUUUUAAAAGUUA